rnacentral:rRNA from 1 species
UACGUAGGGUGCGAGCGUUAAUCGGAAUUACUGGGCGUAAAGCGUGCGCAGGCGGCUUUGCAAGACAGAUGUGAAAUCCCCGGGCUCAACCUGGGAACUGCAUUUGUGACUGCAAGGCUAGAGUACGGCAGAGGGGGAUGGAAUUCCGCGUGUAGCAGUGAAAUGCGUAGAUAUGCGGAGGAACACCAAUGGCGAAGGCAAUCCCCUGGGCCUGUACUGACGCUCAUGCACGAAAGCGUCGGGAGCAAACAGG